AUUGAACGCUGGCGGCAGGCCUAACACAUGCAAGUCGAGCGGAUGAAGGGAGCUUGCUCCUGGAUUCAGCGGCGGACGGGUGAGUAAUGCCUAGGAAUCUGCCUGGUAGUGGGGGAUAACGUCCGGAAACGGGCGCUAAUACCGCAUACGUCCUGAGGGAGAAAGUGGGGGAUCUUCAGACCUCACGCUAUCAGAUGAGCCUAGGUCGGAUUAGCUAGUUGGUGGGGUAAAGGCCUACCAAGGCGACGAUCCGUAACUGGUCUGAGAGGAUGAUCAGUCACACUGGAACUGAGACACGGUCCAGACUCCUACGGGAGGCAGCAGUGGGGAAUAUUGGACAAUGGGCGAAAGCCUGAUCCAGCCAUGCCGCGUGUGUGAAGAAGGUCUUCGGAUCGUAAAGCACUUUAAGUUGGGAGGAAGAGCAGUAAGUUAAUACCUUGCUGUUUUGACGUUACCAACAGAAUAAGCACCGGCUAACUUCGUG
rnacentral:rRNA from 1 species